rnacentral:rRNA from 1 species
GACGAACGCUGGCGGCGUGCUUAACGCAUGCAAGUCGAACGAAGCUUGAUUACGGAUUCUUCGGAUGAAGUAUGAUAUGACUGAGUGGCGGACGGGUGAGUAACGCGUGAGUAACCUGCCCUUCAGAGGGGGAUAGCGUUUGGAAACGAACGGUAAUACCGCAUAAUGUAUUUUGACCGCAUGAUCGAAAUACCAAAGAUUUAUCGCUGAAGGAUGGACUCGCGUCUGAUUAGGUAGUUGGUGGGGUAACGGCCUACCAAGCCGACGAUCAGUAGCCGGACUGAGAGGUUGAUCGGCCACAUUGGGACUGAGACACGGCCCAGACUCCUACGGGAGGCAGCAGUGGGGAAUAUUGCACAAUGGGCGCAAGCCUGAUGCAGCAACGCCGCGUGAAGGAAGACGGUUUUCGGAUUGUAAACUUCUGUUCUUAGUGAAGAAUAAUGACGGUAGCUAAGGAGCAAGCCACGGCUAACUACGU